rnacentral:rRNA from 1 species
UACCAGCACCUCGAGUGGUCAGGAGGUUUAUUGGGCCUAAAGCAUCCGUAGCCGGCUACGCAAGUCUCCGGUUAAAUCCAACUGCUCAACAGAUGGGCUGCCGGAGAUACUACAUAGCUAGGGAGCGGGAGAGGUAGACGGUACUCUGUGGGUAGGGGUAAAAUCCUCUGAUCCAUAGAAGACCACCAGUGGCGAAGGCGGUCUACCAGAACGCGUUCGACGGUGAGGGAUGAAAGCUGGGGGAGCAAACCGG